rnacentral:lncRNA from 1 species
AAAAUAAAUUGUUUGCUUUAACCUUUCUAAAACUUCGCUGUAACAUUUCCUACAUACAUUUUCUUUAAAAGAAAUUGUCCUCCAUAUAAUAUUAAACUAAAACAAAAUAAACUUUAGGUAAUAAUCCCUCUCCUCUUUUCUUAUUGGUUGAACAAAGCAUCACACGGAUCACCUUUAUAACCAUCCGAUGCGUGUUUCUUCAUCCCUUCCCUCACACGUGUCUUCAUCUCAUCUCCUCGUCUUUAUCUCUUUUUUCUUCUUUCUUUGUCUCACGAGAAUUCACAAUCUCUUUCACUCUCAUCUCUCUCAUCAUCUCUGAUAUCUUCCUCUGUAUCUAACUCAUCAUUCUUCUUCGCUGACAAACCGACGACCUUACGGAGAAGCUCAUGAAGCCCACGACAGCGACGACGACAGCCUACUCUCCGCCUCAUCUCCUCCAAUGCCUCUCUCCUCGUGACGUCUCUAUUCCUCUUCUCUUCUCCAUGACACGUCCUCUCCUCCUCUGCUCGAUCACGCCCCCUCUCCUCGUCUGCUCCGUAAUGGCUCCUCACGUCCGCGAAUUUCCUUGCUCGCGUGGCGGCUGAAGAAACAAACGAAGUUUAUGUUAGGUUUAGAUUUAGGUUUAGUGUUAGCUCCCGUAUGCUAAUAACAGCGGCUUAGAUUUAAGUUUUGAUUCAUUUUCUUGACCAAAUAGUUUUGGUCUUUGAUUUAGUUUUUCUUUUUGUAUUUAUGUAAUUAUGUAUCUGUCUCAGUUUUAAUUUAAACCAGUUUAAUAUAUAUAAAUCAUUUUAAAUUUUAAUAAAUUUAUUAAUUUUAAUUUUAAUUUUUUUUUUGUUUUUAAUUUUUCGUUUUG